GGGUUGUGAGGUUAAGCGACUAAGCGUACACGGUGGAUGCCCUGGCAGUCAGAGGCGAUGAAGGACGUGCUAAUCUGCGAUAAGCGUCGGUAAGGUGAUAUGAACCGUUAUAACCGGCGAUUUCCGAAUGGGGAAACCCAGUGUGUUUCGACACACUAUCAUUAACUGAAUCCAUAGGUUAAUGAGGCGAACCGGGGGAACUGAAACAUCUAAGUACCCCGAGGAAAAGAAAUCAACCGAGAUUCCCCCAGUAGCGGCGAGCGAACGGGGAGCAGCCCAGAGCCUGAAUCAGUGUGUGUGUUAGUGGAAGCGUCUGGAAAGGCGCGCGAUACAGGGUGACAGCCCCGUACACAAAAAUGCACAUACUGUGAGCUCGAUGAGUAGGGCGGGACACGUGGUAUCCUGUCUGAAUAUGGGGGGACCAUCCUCCAAGGCUAAAUACUCCUGACUGACCGAUAGUGAACCAGUACCGUGAGGGAAAGGCGAAAAGAACCCCGGCGAGGGGAGUGAAAAAGAACCUGAAACCGUGUACGUACAAGCAGUGGGAGCACGCUUCGGCGUGUGACUGCGUACCUUUUGUAUAAUGGGUCAGCGACUUAUAUUCUGUAGCAAGGUUAACCGAAUAGGGGAGCCGAAGGGAAACCGAGUCUUAACUGGGCGUUAAGUUGCAGGGUAUAGACCCGAAACCCGGUGAUCUAGCCAUGGGCAGGUUGAAGGUUGGGUAACACUAACUGGAGGACCGAACCGACUAAUGUUGAAAAAUUAGCGGAUGACUUGUGGCUGGGGGUGAAAGGCCAAUCAAACCGGGAGAUAGCUGGUUCUCCCCGAAAGCUAUUUAGGUAGCGCCUCGUGAAUUCAUCUCCGGGGGUAGAGCACUGUUUCGGCAAGGGGGUCAUCCCGACUUACCAACCCGAUGCAAACUGCGAAUACCGGAGAAUGUUAUCACGGGAGACACACGGCGGGUGCUAACGUCCGUCGUGAAGAGGGAAACAACCCAGACCGCCAGCUAAGGUCCCAAAGUCAUGGUUAAGUGGGAAACGAUGUGGGAAGGCCCAGACAGCCAGGAUGUUGGCUUAGAAGCAGCCAUCAUUUAAAGAAAGCGUAAUAGCUCACUGGUCGAGUCGGCCUGCGCGGAAGAUGUAACGGGGCUAAACCAUGCACCGAAGCUGCGGCAGCGACACUAUGUGUUGUUGGGUAGGGGAGCGUUCUGUAAGCCUGUGAAGGUGUGCUGUGAGGCAUGCUGGAGGUAUCAGAAGUGCGAAUGCUGACAUAAGUAACGAUAAAGCGGGUGAAAAGCCCGCUCGCCGGAAGACCAAGGGUUCCUGUCCAACGUUAAUCGGGGCAGGGUGAGUCGACCCCUAAGGCGAGGCCGAAAGGCGUAGUCGAUGGGAAACAGGUUAAUAUUCCUGUACUUGGUGUUACUGCGAAGGGGGGACGGAGAAGGCUAUGUUGGCCGGGCGACGGUUGUCCCGGUUUAAGCGUGUAGGCUGGUUUUCCAGGCAAAUCCGGAAAAUCAAGGCUGAGGCGUGAUGACGAGGCACUACGGUGCUGAAGCAACAAAUGCCCUGCUUCCAGGAAAAGCCUCUAAGCAUCAGGUAACAUUAAAUCGUACCCCAAACCGACACAGGUGGUCAGGUAGAGAAUACCAAGGCGCUUGAGAGAACUCGGGUGAAGGAACUAGGCAAAAUGGUGCCGUAACUUCGGGAGAAGGCACGCUGAUAUGUAGGUGAAGUCCCUCGCGGAUGGAGCUGAAAUCAGUCGAAGAUACCAGCUGGCUGCAACUGUUUAUUAAAAACACAGCACUGUGCAAACACGAAAGUGGACGUAUACGGUGUGACGCCUGCCCGGUGCCGGAAGGUUAAUUGAUGGGGUUAGCGGUAACGCGAAGCUCUUGAUCGAAGCCCCGGUAAACGGCGGCCGUAACUAUAACGGUCCUAAGGUAGCGAAAUUCCUUGUCGGGUAAGUUCCGACCUGCACGAAUGGCGUAAUGAUGGCCAGGCUGUCUCCACCCGAGACUCAGUGAAAUUGAACUCGCUG
rnacentral:rRNA from 1 species